CCACCUAUACCGCACCAGCCUCGGCCACAUCAGCAUCAUUAGCAGCCACCAAACCAGAAAAUAAUGCUCUUGCAACACACUCAUAAUCUUUCAAUACUCCCCCACAUCCCGCUCUACCUUUUUUUUCCACCCUACACACAUUAAACUAUAACCAUCCAAGAGGAGGAGGUUGCCAAAAUAUAGCUGUUGAUUUGGUUACGCAAGUAUCAAAACACCACCUGUUCGGACAAAACCUCCAAAAACUCUC
rnacentral:lncRNA from 1 species